AGAGUUUGAUCAUGGCUCAGGACGAACGCUGGCGGCGUGCUUAACACAUGCAAGUCGAGCGGAAAGGCCCUUCGGGGUACUCGAGCGGCGAACGGGUGAGUAACACGUGAGCAAUCUGCCCUUAGCUUCGGGAUAGCUCCGGGAAACCGGAAUUAAUACCGGAUAUGACUAUGGCCGACAUCAGCCAUGGUGGAAAGUUUUUCGGCUAGGGAUGAGCUCGCGGCCUAUCAGCUAGUUGGUGGGGUAACGGCCUACCAAGGCGACGACGGGUAGCCGGCCUGAGAGGGCGACCGGCCACACUGGGACUGAGACACGGCCCAGACUCCUACGGGAGGCAGCAGUGGGGAAUAUUGCGCAAUGGGCGAAAGCCUGACGCAGCGACGCCGCGUGGGGGAUGAAGGCCUUCGGGUUGUAAACCCCUUUCAGCAGGGACGAAGCGAAAGUGACGGUACCUGCAGAAGAAGCGCCGGCUAACUACGUGCCAGCAGCCGCGGUAACACGUAGGGCGCAAGCGUUGUCCGGAAUUAUUGGGCGUAAAGAGCUCGUAGGCGGUCUGCCACGUCCGCUGUGAAAACCUAGGGCUUAACCCUGGGCUUGCAGUAGAUACGGGCAGACUAGAGGUAGGUAGGGGAGAAUGGAAUUCCCGGUGUAGCGGUGAAAUGCGCAGAUAUCGGGAGGAACACCGGUGGCGAAGGCGGUUCUCUGGGCCUUACCUGACGCUGAGGAGCGAAAGCGUGGGGAGCAAACAGGAUUAGAUACCCCCGUAGUCC
rnacentral:rRNA from 1 species